AUACGUAGGGGGCAAGCGUUAUCCGGAAUUACUGGGUGUAAAGGGAGAGUAGGCGGCAUGGUAAGUUAGAUGUGAAAGCCUCGGGCUUAACCUGAGGAUUGCAUUUAAAACUAUCAAGCUAGAGUACAGGAGAGGAAAGCGGAAUUCCUAGUGUAGCGGUGAAAUGCGUAGAUAUUAGGAAGAACACCAGUGGCGAAGGCGGCUUUCUGGACUGAAACUGACGCUGAUGCUCGAAAGCGUGGGGAGCGAACAGGAUUAGAUACCCUGGUAGUCCACGCCGUAAACGAUGAGUGCUAGGUGUCGGGGAGGAAUCCUCGGUGCCGCAGCAAACGCAAUAAGCACUCCACCUGGGGAGUACGAUCGCAAGAUUGAAACUCAAAUGAAUUGACGGGG
rnacentral:rRNA from 1 species